AAACUGAAACUUGUUUCGCUUGCAGAACGAAUUCCAUGGAUUUUCCUCGUCUUCCAAUUCCCUAACCAUGGUGUUGGCCACACGAUUGCCAUUCCCACCGCCCGCCCUCAAACUCUCCUCACCUCUCCAUCACAAAUAUAGAACCACCACGUUCCAGGUUCGACUCCAUUCCAAGCCGGCUCCUCCUCAAUCCUCCAGCAGCCGCAGAGAAAUUCUCAUUUCCACUGGUCUUUUAGUCGCCACAGCCGCCACAGCCGCCGCCGAGGAGGAGGAGGAAGCAGCAGAGCCUGCAGCCGCAACGGACACAACAAUUACAGAUCGAGUUUUCCUGGACAUUACAAUGUGUCCGACCUCUUUCAAGCCCGAGCGCACUGCAUCCUCCACAAAUAACAACUCUUCCGCCGCCGCCCCUGCGAGCCCAGCCAAAACUGCGGCGGCGGUGGCAGAGUCGUUUUGUCCAGAGGGGGAGCCACUGGGUCGCAUUGUUAUAGGACUGUAUGGAAAGCAGGUGCCGCGCACUGUGGCAAAUUUUAAGGCAAUGUGCACUGGAACAUCAGGGAGUAAAUACGAGGGCACGCUGAUACAUAAGAUUUUUCCUGGUCAGUAUUUUAUGGCGGGUAAACAGGGGCGCAGGGAGAAGGGAGAGGUUCCGCCGCCUGCUAAUUUACAGAGGAAUACAGAGACCGUGGAAGCUAGGGCUUUUAAGCUGAGGCAUCUCAAACCCGGGACGGUCUCACUUUGUUUGUCGGAGAAUGAUGAUGAGGAACAGUAUAAGUUAACCCCUGAUUACAGAAACGUGGAGUUUAUGGUCACCAUAGGCCCAGGCCCCUGCCCUCAGCUGGAUAAUGCAAACAUUGUCUUCGGCACAGUACUUGAAGGAAUGGAUGUUGUGACAGCUAUAGCAGCUAUUCCUACCUACAAGCCUGGUGAGCGCAUCCGACAAUUUAAUGAUUUGGCUGAAUUUCUAGGGGAUGAGAGAGCUCAAAAUGCUCGUAAUAUAUGGAACCGUCCUCUUAAGAAUAUCUUCAUAAGUUCCAGUGGGGAACUGAGAGUUGCAAAGCCAUCUCUUGCACCAAGUUUACCAUGACUGUCAAAUGGAAUGGUAUCUGGACUGUCAAGGACAUGCAUUUUGCCGAGUCUAGUCACAUGUUCAGGUCUGUCAGCUAUGAAUAAAUCUGGUGUGCCAUCAGUGUGGUUGUACCCAGAUAGAUACCCUGCUGAGAAAAAUGGAGACACUAUACUUUGAGACUGUUGAUGGCUUGCUGCACUCAGAAAAGCAUCCUCAGAAAGAUGUGUUCCGGGUAAGAAUUAUUUUCUCUCCCACCUAUAAGUAAUAACAAGGUCACAUUAUCUCACAGCCACAGCCUCAAAUAAGCAAAAAAUGCUUCUUCUAACACCCCCAAUAGUAUUGCUAUUAACCAAUGCUUAAAUUACCCCGAGUUUGUCCUGCAGAAAAAAAAUUGCAUGCACCUGCAAUUAAGCUGCAUUUUCUGUUGUCCAUGUGGAUCAGAUUUGAGUAUGUCUAUCGUUUUUGAAGAUAGACGUUAUAAAUUUUAUUUAUUUAUAUGUAAAGCUUUUGUUUGUAAUUCUGCAAGAUAUUCUUUGAUUCUGUAUAAUUUAAAUCCUUAAUCAAAUGCAACUGCUUAUUCAAGUCCAUGUAACUUAGUAAAUGGCAAAAGAAAGGAAGUUAAAGUUCCAAGGGAAUGCAAUGUUUGGAUACAUGAAUGUACUUAAGUGGAAGAGAAAUUGCUUUUUUGAGGCAAGAUUCUUGUUGAAUUACCUUUAUAAUGCUGGAUUUCAUCAUUGCCUUUGCCAAGCAAUAUGAACUUCUAUUUUUGAAGCCAGAAUAUUGACAUAGGUGUAUAACAUCAAAGAUGGGAGUACCAUGUACUUAAAAUUCUUUACAUUGAAGCAAUGUAAGUAAAGUGGUAUAAAAGGGACUUACAUGGAGAGCUUGGUAUGCUGAGAGUUUUCUGGCAUCAUUUCGUCUAUAGUUUCUCGUUUCUUUGUGGUUAUCCAGUUCUUUGCAUGUCAAGAGAGGGAAGUUAUUCAAAUAUUUGGGAUCGUCUUGUUGGAGCUUCCUUAUGAAAUCUUGUGUUUCCUGAUUAUGAUAUACUACAAACUCAGAUUGGAAGAUUUUCUUUAUCUCUCUCUGUAUUUUUAAUUUUUGGCAUUGAUCCAGGUUUAUAUCUGAAACUUAUAAAGAAGUAAACUUAUCAUAUAUUUGUGAUUCUUAUUGAAUAUUUCCAUUCCAUUGCUUGC